GCAUCCGUAGCUCAGCUGGAUAGAGUACUCGGCUACGAACCGAGCGGUCGGAGGUUCGAAUCCUCCCGGAGGCACCA
rnacentral:tRNA from 1 species